CUAGAAGCGGCGGCGCAAGCAGUUCUCCUAUCUGUGAGUGGGCGUUUGGGUGCAGGCGGUUCAUGCGUCGGGGCGAGGGUGCCAUGGAGGGGGGCGCCUCGUCGACGUGCCCGGCCGUCGUUCGUCGCCGGGAACGCAGUGUGGCCCGUUGGUUGACCUGGCCGUCUGUGAUUCAUUCGCGUGGCCUGGCACUGUUCGGCGGCGUGGGUCGUGGUGGGUGGGUCGUCUCCCUUAUCCUGCAUCGCCGCCUGCCUCUUCUCCUCCCUCUUCCUUUCGUUUCGUUUCGGUGCUCGCGCCUCUUCAUGCUCCUGCUCUUUGGUUCGCGAGUCGUCGCUAGGGUUGGUUGCCGAGGGGCUCCAAUGGCGUCGCACCGCGGUGACGCCGGUUAAGCUUCCGUUGUUCUCCUCUUCGCUAGGCUUGGAUCUGCUGCGCCGCUCGUCGAUCUGUGGCUGCUCCUGCCUGGUGUCCUCGCAUGUUCGUCGUCGUGUACGUGUUGGUCUUCGCGUCUUGCUCCAAGGAUCUGCAGGUUGUUUCAGUUUAUAGGUUAUUUCUCUGAGCCGGCCGUGUUGCUAGGCCCUGCUGUCUGGUGGUGCUGUUUUUUGCUGUACAUGGUUAUCUUCAGAGCUACAGCUUGGAUCCGUACGUGGUCCUUACUCACUCCUAUGGACUCCAGGGAGCCUUUGGUUACUGGGUGCAACCAAUGGGAGAUGGUGGCUCGGGUUAUAUUCAACCGGUUCGGAUGGCGUUCGCAUAACAGGAUAGGAGUCCAGAGAGCUUAUCCUUAUUAUUACCGUUCCAGGAGAAUCUGCCUAAAAGUUUUGUCUAUUGAGCAUCUCUGUACCUGAUUACUCAAAAGAGGUUAACCCAUGUUGUGCUGUUGUCUGUUAAACAAAAAAACUGAUGAAAUAUAUUUGCCCUUUCAAAUCCAUUUGGUCAGCUGAAUUUAUUAUGCUUUUCUGAAGUGACUGCUUUGUGUACCGGCUAUUGGUCGUUUUGAUAUUUCUGCACACUUUCUGCAUGUUUGCUAUUCUCAUCGUUCAUUAUUUAAAUUACUCAUAAGCCUCUUACAAGUACUAUGGAUUAUUAUUAUUGCUAGGAUAAGCAUUGCCACCAAUGCAAGAAAACAAGAUUUCCUUUUGCAUAUUCCUUGCUAUCUUAGAUUGUAAUGUUUAACACAAUUCCGGCUUAUAAUGCUGCUGAUGUCCAGUUGUUAGAAUUUAGAUAUGACCAUUCCUAUAUCUCAAGCUAUCUGAAAUUAUAAGUUUUGACAUAUUUUCAGUUUGGUGCUGUUGUUUAAUAACUGGUCCUUACAAUUAUAGUUGGCCAAAAUUAUUGAACUCUUAGGCAAAUUACUAAAACAAUAUGUUGUGCGCAUUAUUUUUGAACGAGCUUAUGAUGGAUCCUUAUCCACAGGGCAAACUCCUGAGAAUUUAUCCAUUCUGGAAGGUUCUUUGCUCGGAGCUCUUAAACUUAUUAUGCUGAUAGGUCUCGUGAUCAUUUCUUUUGGUCCAAGUUAUUCAUACACCCUUCUGAAUCUACUAUAUGGAGGAAGAUAUAGUGAUGGCGAAGCUACAGCUGUCCUCCGUUACUAUUGUGUUUACAUAAUCUUCUUAGCAAUGAAUGGCAUGUCUGAAGCUUUCCUUCAUUCUGUUGCAAAUGAAAAGCAGCUUAAGCAGUCAAAUGAUAUAUUGCUCCUCUUCUCAGCAAUUUAUAUUGUUCUAAAUGUUACUUUUAUUAAAUCUGCCGGAGCUAUUGGGUUGAUUGCUGCAAAUUCUGUCAAUAUGCUACUGCGAAUCUCAUAUUCUGCAAUAUUCAUCGAAGAGUAUUUUAAGGGCUCAUUCUCCUUUCGCCACUGCUUGCCAGCGGGCUGGGGCGUUCUGCUCAUUUCUGGUGCGACCACAGCUUUCUCCGAGAGGGUGUUUCUGAAUAGAAAUAGGUUCAAGCAGACCCUUCCCAUUCACAUGGCGAUAGGCAUCAUGUGCCUGAUCUUCUCAUUGCUUGAGAUAUACCAUGGCGAAAAGCAGUUCUUGAUGAGCAUCAUCAAAUCGUUGAAGGGUCACGACAAACACACAUGAUUUUUAUAUAUCCGGGGCAAGUGGAUUUACCCCAGAUAUUACUGAUAUUGCCAUACAACAAAAGCGUUGUAAAUACAUGUACACUGGCUAGAGUACCAAAGAAAGGAGCUGGACCCAGCAGUUGGAGAGGCUUCUUAAAGAACAUAUCAAACUGUCCGAAAUCAUAGAUCGCCGCUCUGCAGUGAAUUGAAUUGCUGGGACAAGUUAUAGAAGCGACAUAAAGCAUAGAUCAUGUGGGUAGAUAGGUAGUAUAUUCUGUAACUUCUCCACAUCAGACUUAUUAAGGUUAAAUUGCAGCAUGGUUGUCAGAAUUUACCAUGUUGUGCCAUUCAGGUUUUGUUACCUGAGAUUCGGUGCAGAACUUUACAAAAUUCCUUAACAGCUCGUUUGGCGCC
rnacentral:rRNA from 1 species